AUGGAAGAAUACAGCGAUGAGGCAACAUUUCAUGCCGAGAUUGAAGUGUUGACAAAAAUCAGGCAUCGAUGCAUUGUUAAGUUAUAUGGCUUUUGUUCCCACUCCCAGUGCAAAUUCCUUGUGUAUGAUCUUAUCGAGAGGGGAAGUUUAUCAUCCAUGCUUCAUGACCAAGAGCUAGUGAAGGAAUUGAAUUGGCCCAAGAGAGUGACUGUUGUGAGAGAUGUAGCUCAAGCUCUCUCUUACUUGCACCAUGAUUGUGAUGAUCCGAUCGUGCAUCGCGACAUAAAAAGCAGCAACAUUCUUCUGGACCUCGAUUUUAAAGCUUAUGUCUCAGACUUCGGCAUGGCGAGGAAACUGAAGCACGGUUACUCAAGCUGGAGCACUAUCUUUGCAGGGACAUGUGGCUACAUAGCCCCGGAAUUGUCAUCUACCAUGGUGUUGACAGAGAAGUGCGACGUGUACAGCUUCAGCGUGGUUGCGCUGGAAGUUUUGAUUGGAAAGCACCCAGGUGAUCUGCUCCUUCCGUUCUUUUGCCGAACAGAGCAGCCGGGGAAGUUCAAGGAUAUCCUAGAUUGA
rnacentral:rRNA from 1 species